UAGGCCGGGUGUGUAAGCGCAGCGAUGCGUUGAGCUAACCGGUACUAAUGAACCGUGAGGCUUAACCUUACAACGCCGAAG
rnacentral:rRNA from 15 species